CCUUGUAAACGAGGAUUCAUCGUGGAUCGCUUUGUAUGCCGUACAUGUAUACACUCCGUUUAAUACGAUUGUUUACAAUCGGAUUGAAAAAAAACACCCAUGUAAACUGGGCCACUGAUGUUUAUUCAGCACCCCGGAAAACGCUGCUGGUUCAGUAAACAUGGCGAAGGAACAUGCGAAGCCCGGCAGCUGCUCUGUUGUCGGCUGCACUAGCCAGCACCGCAGUCUGUUUUUGCCGCCUUUGUCUGAGGGUUUGAGGGUCCAGUGGAUUCACUUCAUUUUCGAGGAAGACGCACCCGCAAGAACGCCUAAAAAGUUGUAUAUGUGCGCUCACCACUUCACUCCGGACUGCUUUCACGAGGGCCAGUUUACAUCAGGAUUCGCCAAGAAGCUGAAGCUAAAGCCUGGAUCGGUUCCAGCUGUCCGUGACCAAGCUACAAACGUGGAAGCUGCCAGCACAUCAACUGCAACUACAGAUGUUCCUGCAUCGAGGGAUGCUGCAUGCCAGACUGACCCACUGGAGACCCGUUCUGGAGGCACACAGCUGUCCUGGAGGACUCUACAGUCUCAUGUCAGAAGUAAAGGUGUCCAGGCUACUGUGUCCUGCUAGGAUGUUGGUGUUGGGACAUCCACUAGAGAUCCUUUUUAUUUAUCAUCAACACCAGUAAAGAAACCUUCAAAGAGAUCUCGUCUCAACCUGGACGAGGAGCAGGAGCGGGAUUCAGAUCCAUUACAGGACACCUCUUCAGUGGCAUCUUCAAAAGGGCAGGACUCCACCUAUGACCAUUCAAACUCUUUGACAUUUCCUUUGACUCUGUCAAUAUGGUUUUAACUAUGACAAUAUGACACAUUUCGCCGGCAUGCCAGAUCCUUCAUUGAGCCUGCAGUCAUUCGCCACUGGAAGACACUGCAGGAUGUGAUGCUGCAGCGGCUCAGUCAGGAGGACAAAGUAAUCGUUGGUGGCGACAUGAGGGCAGACUCUCCAGGUUUUUAUAUUUCACUGAAAUUAAAGACUCUACCUGGGUGCCAUGUUAAUUUUUUCAACCGAGACAUCUGUUUUGGAAAGAACCUUCAACACACCAAAAACAACCUUGUGAAAACAGUAAAUCAGAUAAAGUGCCAAACACCAGGACGUAUUUAGGAAAAAACUCUGUCAUUGUAAAAUUCAAAAAACAAAACAAAAACAACAGUUUCUUUGUGCAUGUCUUUUCUGAAACAGGGUAUGUUGCUGAGAUGAUGGACCUCAUUUUUGAAGAAAUCUUCAAGGAUCCGGCUCCAUACACAGAGGCAGUCCUGGCCAUCCCCAUUCCAGAGGACCUGACUGCACAGUUCAGCGGCCUGACACAGAGGAGGUCAUUGCCAGUCAUAGGCUGGCCCCAUGUUGUGGGUUAUAUGUAAAGUGUGUGAUGUCAAUAAAUGCUUGUCUACAGAAGUGACUCUGUGAUUACAU